UUGCAGGAUACUUCAAGUCUAAACUGC
rnacentral:piRNA from 1 species